rnacentral:lncRNA from 1 species
CAGUUGCCCUUGGGAGCACAGUCCCAUCAUACAAUACUCCUGCGCCCUCCUACAGUGCCCCUGCCCCGAGCUACAGAGCGCCUUCCCCAUCCUACAAUGCACCUGCUCCUUCUGGGCCUGCUCAGUACGACUUCACCUACGCGGUGAGAGACGACUACUCUGGAAACGACUACAAUCACCAGGAAAAUCGUAAUGGCUACGAUACUCAGGGAGCUUACUACGUUCUCCUUCCCGACGGCCGUGUGCAGAGGGUUGCCUACACCGUGAACGGCGACUCCGGAUACGUGGCUGAAGUUACCUACGAGGGAGAGGCCCAAUACCCUGCUCACCAACCUGCCCCUUCUCGCUCCUACCAGCCCGCCCCCGCCCCUUCCUACGGACCAGCCCCUACUCCCUCCUACCAAACCACUCCUAGCUAUGCAUAAAUCGGUUAAUUGAGAAAGAUCUGUAAUGUACAUUAUUUAUGGUAGUUAAUAAGAAGGCAUUUCAA